rnacentral:rRNA from 1 species
CAAUAGCGUAUAUUAAAGUUGUUGCAGUUAAAAAGCUCGUAGUUGGAUUUCGGGGCAGCCUGGCUGGUCCGCCGCAAGGCGAGUACUGGUCAGCCGCCCUUCCUCUCGAAAGCCCCGACUGCUCUUUAUUGCAGUGGUCGGGUAGUUCGGGACGUUUACUUUGAAAAAAUUAGAGUGUUCAAGGCAGGCCUACGCCUGAAUACAUUAGCAUGGAAUAAUGGAAGAGGACCUCGGUCCUAUUUUGUUGGUUUCCAGGACCGAAGUAAUGAUUAAGAGGGACAGUUGGGAGCAUUCGUAUUUAAUUGUCAGAGGUGAAAUUCUCGGAUUUAUGAAAGACGAACAACUGCGAAAGCAUUUGCCAAGGAUGUUUUCAUUAA